UACGUAGGGUGCAAGCGUUGUCCGGAAUUAUUGGGCGUAAAGAGCUCGUAGGCGGUCUGUCGCGUCGGAUGUGAAAAUCCAGGGCUCAACCCUGGACCUGCAUUCGAUACGGGCAGACUAGAGUUCGGCAGGGGAGACUGGAAUUCCUGGUGUAGCGGUGAAAUGCGCAGAUAUCAGGAGGAACACCGGUGGCGAAGGCGGCAUCCUGGACCAACAUUGACGCUGAGGAGCGAAAGCCAGGGGAGCAAACGGG
rnacentral:rRNA from 1 species